UAGGGAAUCUUCCGCAAUGGGCGAAAGCUUGACGGAGCAACGCCGCGUGAGUGAUGAAGGUCUUCAGAUCGUAAAACUCUGUUAUUAGGGAAGAACAAAUGUGUAAGUAACUAUGCACGUCUUGACGGUACCUAAUCAGAAAGCCACGGCUAACUACGUGCCAGCAGCCGCGGUAAUACGUAGGUGGCAAGCGUUAUCCGGAAUUAUUGGGCGUAAAGCGCGCGUAGGCGGUUUUUUAAGUCUGAUGUGAAAGCCCACGGCUCAACCGUGGAGGGUCAUUGGAAACUGGAAAACUUGAGUGCAGAAGAGGAAAGUGGAAUUCCAUGUGUAGCGGUGAAAUGCGCAGAGAUAUGGAGGAACACCAGUGGCGAAGGCGACUUUCUGGUCUGUAACUGACGCUGAUGUGCGAAAGCGUGGGGAUCAAACAGG
rnacentral:rRNA from 1 species